GGGAUUGCCUCAGUAACGGCGAGUGAAGCGGCAACAGCUCAAAUUUGAAAUCUGGAGUCUUUCGGCUUCCGAGUUGUAAUUUGAAGAGGAUGUUUCGGUGCGACCUGGGCCUAAGUUCCUUGGAACAGGACGUCAUGGAGGGUGAGAAUCCCGUACAUGGCUGCAGGUUUGCUUCUAUGUGAAACUCCUUCGAAGAGUCGAGUUGUUUGGGAAUGCAGCUCAAAAUGGGUGGUAAAUUUCAUCUAAAGCUAAAUAUUGGCGGGAGACCGAUAGCGCACAAGUAGAGUGAUCGAAAGAUGAAAAGCACUUUGAAAAGAGAGUUAAACAGUACGUGAAAUUGUUGAAAGGGAAGCGCUUGCAAUCAGACUCGCCUUCAGCUGAUCAACCUUCCUUCUGGUUGGUGCACUCUGCUGUUGGCGGGCCAGCAUCAGUUGGGGCGGCGGGAUAAAGGCGGCAGGAAUGUGGCUCGUUUCGGCGAGUGUUAUAGCCUGCUGUGUCAUGCCGCCAGCUCCGACUGAGGUCCGCGGUUCGCCUAGGAUGCUGGCUUAAUGGUUGUAAGCGACCCGUCUUGAAACACGGACCAAGGAGUCUAACAUCUAUGCGAGUCUUUGGGUGUAAAACCCAUGGGCGAAAUGAAAGUGAACGGAGGUGGGAGUCUUCGGAUGCACCAUCGACCGAUCCUGAUGUUCUCGGAUGGAUUUGAGUAUGAGCAUAGCUGUUGGGACCCGAAAGAUGGUGAACUAUGCCUGAAUAGGGUGAAGCCAGAGGAAACUCUGGUGGAGGCUCGCAGCGGUUCUGACGUGCAAAUCGAUCGUCAAAUUUGGGUAUAGGGGCGAAAGACUAAUCGAACCAUCUAGUAGCUGGUCCUGCCAU
rnacentral:rRNA from 1 species